UACAGAGGAGCCAAGCGUUGUCCGGAUUGACUGGGCGUAAAGCGCACGCAGGCGGUUGCGCGCGUGGGGGGUGAAAUCUGGCCGCUUAACGGCCAGGCGCCAUCCCAUACGGCGCGACUGGAGCGAUGCAGAGGUCGGUGGAAUUCCAGGUGUAGCGGUGAAAUGCGUAGAGAUCUGGAGGAACACCGAUGGCGAAGGCAGCCUUCUGGGCCAACACUGACGCUCAUGCACGAAAGCGUGGGGAGCAAACAGG
rnacentral:rRNA from 1 species